rnacentral:rRNA from 1 species
UACGUAGGGGGCUAGCGUUGUCCGGAAUCAUUGGGCGUAAAGCGCGUGUAGGCGGCCUGCUAAGUCUGAUGUGAAAGCCCGAGGCUCACCCUCGGAAGUGCAUUGGAAACUGGCAGACUGGAGUCCCGGAGAGGAGGGUGGAAUUCCUGGUGUAGCGGUGAAAUGCGUAGAUAUCAGGAGGAACACCGGUGGCGAAGGCGGCCCUCUGGACGGUGACUGACGCUGAGACGCGAAAGCGUGGGGAGCAAACAGG